UUUGCGAACGCAUCGUGACCCCUCCACUUACCUGGGAGCUUACCUGGUCAACUAGGUUCAUUAGACCGGAUUGGAGGCUUAGGUGUCCUCUUCAAACCAGUUAGGAGCUGUCUAGAAAUUUAAGAAAAACAUUAGAAAUUGAGGUGUAAUGUUUUGUUGCAUGAUUGAUUGAGAAUAGAUUUUUGAAUUAAGGUGUCGUUUUAGGUUAUCUUUAGUUGGUACUUAUAAUUUAAAAAAAAAAGAGGGAAAUAUUUUGCAUGCUAAAGUGGAAUAGGGACGACACU
rnacentral:lncRNA from 1 species